GGAAUUUAGCGGACGGCUGCGGUUGUCUGGUGAAAGGCUAUCCAAGGAUAAGGGGCUUCACUUUUCCCAAGUAGGGGAAAGAGAAGGGGUCUACAGGGCUAGGGGUGGAGGGAGCGGAUGCAGUGAGCAGCCUCCGCAGAGAAAUUGACAAUUUAACCAGGGACCUGCGGCAGAGACAAGGCGGAGACACUCCCUUGCCCAGGAAAGCCGCCAGAGUCCGGCUUGUACCUGGGGAAGAAUCCUUAAGACGGUCUGGCCCAACACUCCUUUGCUCACAGAGAAAGGGGAGAAGACUCCCGAGGGUGAAAAUGGUACAUUCGGAGCUGGAACUCAGCUCGCUGACCCCAAGCAGUGUUCCCUUCUUUUCGCCAGGUUUGCAUCCAAGAGAGGGGAGGACAGGGGCAAAAGGAUGCAGGGAGGCUGCUGAUUUCCACUGAAGAGCUAAUUUCCUGUGAGACAUUAACAGUGAUUUAAGAAAAAGAUUCCUGUAACUGUAAUGUCUUACAAUAACAGAAUGCAGGAGAGCACAUAUCAAUGAAGAAAAGACAAAAUGUACUUAUCCAUGAAGCUGAGGUUAAGAAACCAGUGUCUUCAAGAGCCAGGGACAGCACUGGGUCUGUGCAGAGUUGAGAGAUGGUGAUGACAUGUGACAGAGCUCCUUGCUGCUCAAAUUUUAUGCCAGAUAAAAUAUUCACCUUCUCGGACUCCCUGGCACCAGGCAUGGCCAUGUAAUCCUACAGCACAGCUGAUGAAAGAGAAGACAUCUUGCUGCUAUUUGACAAGCAAGAAGAUAAAAGCUUUCCUAUAAAGAUGAUGGAGCAAAAAAAUAGAAGGGGCCUAGACUCCCUACCUUCACACUUCCUGCUAUAAAAGCAUUGCUAUUAUAAGGUUAAUCUGCAGAAACAGACUUCUAUGUCAUAUGCUUAAAUGCAUCAAAAUUCAUACAAUAUCCAUUAAAUUGGUAAAAGUAUCCAUUUUAAAGGAUUAAUCUGAGGGACCCACAGACACUUAACACAAUCAAAUCUCAGAAAAAAAAUCAGUUAUUUCAUUGUGAUUUUGAGGCUGAUCUUUUAUGAUCUUUU
rnacentral:lncRNA from 10 species